AAGGAACCUGAAUAUAUAUAAGAGAGUACACACUACACAAACCACAAGGAGAACCAAGAAAGAGAGAGAGAGAUCGAGCUAAUCAAAAUGUAUAGGUUGAGCAACACAGUGAUUGGGUUCUUGAACCUCUUCACUCUUUUAGCAUCAAUACCUAUUAUUGGUGGUGGUCUAUGGAUGGCAAGGAGCAGCACAACAUGUGAAAGCUUCCUCCAAACUCCACUCUUAGUGAUUGGUUUUGUUGUGCUAAUCAUAUCUCUGGCUGGGUUCAUUGGUGCUUGUUUCCAUGUCGCUUGGGCGCUUUGGGUGUACUUAGUAGUCAUGCUGUUCCUUAUUGCAACCCUGAUGGGGUUGACUGUGUUUGGGUUUGUGGUUACAAGUCAAGGUGCUGGAGUUGAUGUGCCUGGUAGGGCAUAUAAGGAAUACCAUCUCGAGGAUUACUCACCAUGGUUGAGGAAGAGGAUUAAGGACCCCAAUUACUGGAGCAACAUUAGGAGUUGUAUUUUGGGGUCUAAGACUUGUGCAAAGCUUCUUCUUUGGACUCCUCUCGAUUAUCUUGAGAGGGAUAUGUCUCCAAUACAGUCUGGUUGUUGCAAGCCACCAACAGCAUGCAACUACAACAUGGCAACAACAGUGAGUCAAGACCCAGAUUGCUACCGGUGGAACAAUGCCCCGAAUUUGUUAUGCUACGAGUGUGAUUCAUGCAAGGCAGGAGUGCUUGAAAAUAUCAAGAGGGACUGGCACAAGCUCUCUGUUCUCAACAUUGUGAUGCUUGUUGUCCUCAUUGGAAUAUAUUCCAUUGGAUGCUGUGCUUUCCAAAACACAAAAAGAGCUGAAACCGAUUACCCCUAUGGCCAGAACCGGAUGUCCAAAGUCCGACCCAGAUGGGAUUACCACUGGUUUUGUGGCUGUGGUUAACCACAAGGUCGGAGGUUCGUCAUAAUUCAUAAAGUGUUUGUCAUGACCGUUGUAGAUCUAUAUGCAGGCCCAGUGGAGAUGGUGGCAUCACAGAAGAGAACAGCUUUACUAGUUGAAGAAAGAAACUCUUAUCUUGUUCUGUAGGUGCUAUAAAAAUAUGGGAUUAUCCUGUUUCUUUUUCAGUGUUAUAUGCAUGGGAAUUGGAGGUCUCAAAAGCCUUCUUUUUUGCAUAUACUUCUUUAUUUUAGCUGUCUAAGUUUUGUACAAAGAUAUGGAUUUACUUUUGUUUCAAAGAUCAUACCGGCCACUACAUGUUUUCGAACUUUACUAUUAUAGACUGCCUUUUCCUUUUGACAAUGC